AGAGUUUGAUCCUGGCUCAGAAUCAACGCUGGCGGCGUGCGUAACACAUGCAAGUCGAACGAGAAAGUGGAGCAAUCCAUGAGUUCAGUGGCGACCGGGUGAGUAACACGUGAUUAACCUACCCUCGAGUGGGGGAUAACGCCGGGAAACCGGCAAUAAUACCGCAUAACAUCGCUUGGUGAAAUUCCUUGCGAUCAAAGGAGCAAUUCGCUUGAAGAGGGAGUCGCGUCUGAUUAGCUAGUUGGCAGGGUAAUGGCCUACCAAGGCGAUGAUCAGUAGCCGGCCUGAGAGGGCGCACGGCCACACUGGAACUGAAACACGGUCCAGACUCCUACGGGAGGCAGCAGUGGGGAAUUUUGCGCAAUGGGGGAAACCCUGACGCAGCAACGCCGCGUGGAGGAGGAAGUCCUUUGGGAUGUAAACUCCUUCGACCGGGAAGAUAAUGACGUACCGAGAAAGAGCCCCA
rnacentral:rRNA from 1 species